rnacentral:rRNA from 1 species
AUGAACGUCUGGCAGAGCAAAGCUGAUGACUACUCGACAGUUCAGUGUGCCAUGCUUUACGGCUUAGAAUCGGGACUUCAACGACGUUUUGAACGUCAUGGAGCAUAUGAUAUGUUCCAGGAGUUGAAGUUAAUAUUUCAAGCAAAUGCCCGGAUUGAGAGAUAUGAAGUCUCCAAUAAGUUCUACAACUGCAAGAUGGAGGAGAAUAGUUCUGUCAGUGAGCAUAUACUCAAAAUGUCUGGGUAUAACAAUCACUUGAUUCAACUGGGAGUUAAUCUUCCUGAUGAUAGUGUCAUUGACAGAAUUCUUCAAUCACUUCCACCAAGCUACAAGAGCUUCGUGAUGAACUAUAACAUGCAAGGGAUGGAUAAGACAAUUCCCGAGCUCUUCGCAAUGCUAAAGGCUGCGGAGGUAGAAAUCAAGAAGGAGCAUCAAGUGUUGAUGGUCAACAAGACCACCAGUUUCAAGAAAAAGGGUAAAGGGAAGAAGGGAAACUUCAAGAAGAACGGCAAGAAAGUUGCUGCUCAAGUGAAGAAACCCAAGUCUGGACCUAAGCCUGAGAGUGAGUGCUUCUACUGCAAAGGGACUGGUCACUGGAAGCGGAACUGCCCCAAGUAUUUGGUAGAUAAGAAGGAUGGCAAGGUGAACAAAGGUAUAUGUGAUAUACAUGUUAUUGAUGUGUACCUUACUAAUGCUCGCAGUAGUACCUGGGUAUUUGAUACUGGUUCUGUUGCUAAUAUUUGCAACUCGAAACAGGGACUACAGAUUAAGCGGAGAUUGGCUAAGGACGAGGUGACGGUGCGUCUGGGAAAUGGUUCCAAAGUCGAUGUGAUCGCGGUCAGCACGCUACCUCUACAUCUACCUUCGGGAUUAGUUUUAGACCUGAAUAAUUGUUAUUUGGUGCCAGCGUUGAGCAUGGACAUUAUAUCUAGAUCUUGUUUGAUGUGA